CUUGGCCAGGGGAUGGUGGCCGCCCCUUUAACCCUCCUCCAGUUUUCCAGAGGGAGGUCCCGCUCCGACUUGAGCAGGGGUGGGGGCUUCUUUGAGGGACCCAGUGGAGGGGCGAGUCGAUUGCCUCGGCGCUGGAAGAACCUUCUAGUUAGGCUGUGUCCCUGAUAAGUACUGUCUGGCAAUUCCGCAGCCUCGCCCGAACUGAGGGGAGCCAUCUUGUCCCUGUCUGUCUCCAAGUUUGUAUUGUUGUCUCCAUCUCUGUCUGUAUUUUCUUUGUUUGGCGUUUUGCUUUUCUUUUCUCCCUCUCUCUCUCUUUUUUUAAUCACUGCCUGCCAGAGUCCUGGUCUUCAUCCUCGGUUUCCCCAUCUUCCUUGCCCCAGGCCCUGGGAGUGCUCUGGAAGGCUGCGCAGUAUUGGAGGGGACAGAAUGACCUUCCGGCCCUGAGUCCCUGGAAGCUGGGAAACUCUUUUUCCAUGGAAGAAGGUGAGAGAAGGGGCCUUACGGUGCAUGGACGACAGAAAGCAGGUAGAGGUUCUCAAAUGUCUGAGUAGUGGUAAAUACAGUCGUCCUGGAGGCAGAGGAAGAUAUUUCACGCCCUCUCAAGGUCCCUUCGGUUCAAGGAUACUGUCAUUCUCUGGCUCUAGUAGGGGGAGGGCCUGCAACGUCCAUGCUGCCAUGGAAACGCGCCGCCGUGUUCCUUUUUCUUGCGAGGGGCGGGGCACUCCGCCUCAGCCACCUAUCAUCCACAGGAUUUCUUGAGUGGCAGUCAGCAGCAGCGAAUGGGCGAUCCGGUGCUGCGUGACGCGACGGGAAAAGGGGGAGUUCGCGGCCGGUGGCGGCGGUGGCCACAGCGGCGACCUGGGGAUCGAGCUGGAGGGACCUGGGGAGCGUGCAGAGACCUCUAGCUCGAGCGCGAGGGACCUUCCGCGGGGAUGCCUGGGGAGCAGAUGGACCCUACAGGAAGUCAGUUGGAUUCAGAUUUCUCUCAGCAAGAUACUCCUUGCCUGAUAAUUGAAGAUUCUCAGCCUGAAAGCCAGGUUCUAGAAGAUGAUUCUGGUUCUCACUUUGGUGUGCUGUCUCGACACCUUCCUAACCUACAGACGCACAAAGAGAAUCCUGUGUUGGAUGUUGUGUCCAAUCCUGAACAAACAGCUGGAGAAGAACAGGGAGAUAGUAAUAGUGGGUUCAGUGAACAUUUGAAAGAAAACAAGGCUGCAGAUUCUAUGGAUUCUUCUCAUUUGGACACAUGUGGUUCCAUCAGUCAGGUCAUUGAACAGUUACCUCAGCCAAACAGGACAAGCAGUAUUCUGGGAAUGUCAGUGGAAUCUACUCCUGCUGUGGGGGAAGAGAAGGAAGAAGAUUUGGAAGAGAAGGAAAAGGAGAAAGAAGAUACUUCAGAUAAUACCACACACUCCUUUGGUGCUGAAGAUCCUGCCUCAUCACAGUUAGGCUUUGGGGUUCUGGAACUCUCCCAGAGUCAGGAUGUUGAAGAACAUACUAUGACAUAUGAAGUAGACAAAGAGCAUCUACAGUCAGUAACCACCAACUCUGGCUAUUCUAGGCUAUCUGAUGUGGAUGCUAAUACUGUAAUUAAGCACGAAGAACAAUCUAAGGAAGAUAUCCCCAUGGCAGAACAGCCCAGCACGGAUGUCCCUGUGACAGCACAGCCCAGUAAAGAUGUACAUGUGGUAGAAGAACAAAAUCCACCACCUACAAGGUCAGAAGAUAUGCUUUCUAGUCCGAAAGUGUCUCCUGCUGCUAUAGAAACAAAAGAACAAAUGUCUGCUCAAGAAAGUUUGGAAGGUGGACUGCAGAUUCAGAGGUCACCAGAGCCUGAGGUUUUGUCAACUCAGGAAGACUUGUUUGACCAGAGCAAUAAAACAGUAGCUUCUGAUGGUUGUUCUACUCCAUCAAGGGAGGAAGGUGGGUGUUCUCUGGCUUCCACACCUGCCACCACUCUGCACCUCCUGCAGCUCUCUGGUCAGAGGUCCCUUGUUCAGGAGAGUCUUUCCACGAAUUCCUCAGAUCUUGUUGCUCCUUCCCCUGAUGCUUUCCGAUCUACCCCUUUUAUCGUUCCUAGCAGUCCCACAGAGCAAGAAGGGAGAAAAGAUGAGCCAAUGGACAUGUCAGUGUUAUCUGAAGAAGGAAGAGAGCCUUUUCAGAAGAAACUGCAAGAUGAUGAACCAGUGGAGGUAGAGAAGCCCCCUCUCCCACCUGAGCCCACUAUAUCACCACAAGCCUCAACACCAGUAUCUCAGAGCACACCAGUCUUUAUUCCUGGUUCACUUCCUAUCCCAUCCCAGCCUGAGUUUUCUCAUGAUAUUUUCAUUCCAUCGCCAAGUUUGGAAGAACAAUCAAAUGAUGGGAAGAAAGGUGGAGACUUGCAUAGUUCAUCUUUGACUGUUGAGUGUUCUAAGACUUCAGAGAUUGAACCAAAGAAUUCCACUGAGGAUCUUGGGUUAUCUUUGACAGGGGAGUCUUGCAAAUUGAUGCUUUCUGCAAGUGAGUAUAGUCAGUCCCCAAAGGUGGAGAGCUUGAGUUCUCACAGGAUUGAUGAAGAUGGAGAAAACACACAGAUUGAGGAUACUGAACCCAUGUCUCCAGUUCCCAAUUCUAAGCUUAUUCCUGCUGAAAAUGAUAGUAUCCUGAUGAAUCCUGAUGAAGCACGGGAUGGCCAAGUAGAACUGAGUCAGAAUGAUGACAAAGCAAAGGGAGAUGACACAGAGACCAGGGAUGACAUUAGUAUUUUAGCUUCUGGUUGCAAAGGAAGAGAAGAAACUGUAGCAGAAGACGUUUGUAUUGAUCUCACUUGUGAUUCAGGGAGUCAGGCCGUUCCUUCUCCAGCUACUCAGUCAGAGGCACUCUCUAGUGUAUUAGAUCAGGAGGAAGCUAUGGAAAUUAAAGAACACCAUCCAGAGGAAGGGUCUUCGGGAUCUGAGGUGGAAGAAAUCCCUGAGACUCCUUGUGAAAGUCAAGGAGAGGAGCCCAAAGAAGAAAAUAUGGAGAGUGUUCCAUUACACCUUUCUCUGACUGAAACUCAGUCCCAAGGAUUGUGUCUUCAAAAGGAAAUCACAAAACAAGAAUGCCCAGAAGCUAUGGAAGUUGAAACCAGUGUGAUUAGUAUUGAUUCCCCCCAAAAGCUACCAGUACUUGACCAAGAAUUGGAGCAUAAAGAUCAGGAAGCUUGGGAAGAAGCUACUUCAGAGGACUCGAGUGUUGUCAUUGUAGAUGUGAAAGAGCCAUCUCCCAGAGUUGAUAUUUCUUGUGAACCUUUGGAGGGAGUGGAGAAAGGCUCAGAUUCCCAGUCAUGGGAAGAUGUUGCUCCAGAAAUAGAACCAUGUGCUGAUAAUAGAUUAGAUACCCAGGAAGAAAAGAGAAUAGAAUAUGAAGGAGAUCUGAAAUCAGUGACUACAGAAAAGGAACCUGUAGAGGAAGAUCCUCCACAGCUUCCCUUGCCUUUAAUGAGAACAGAUGAUCCUCUGAGACCUGACCAGGAGAUGCAGCAGUCCCAGCCUCAAGAGAAAACAGAUAACUCAUUAGCAGAAGACUCAAAAAUGGCUAGUGCAAAGCAGCUAGGCCCAAGUGUAGAGGCUCAGCAUCUGGAGAAGGCCUCUACCCAUGCCUCACAAAGCUUCUGUGAAAGUUCUAGUGAAACCCCAUUUCAUUUCACUUUGCCUAAAGAAGGUGAUAUUAUCCCACCAUUGACUGGUGCAACCCCACCUCUUAUUGGGCACCUAAAAUUGGAGCCCAAGAGACACAGUACUCCUAUUGGUAUUAGCAACUAUCCAGAAAGCACCAUAGCAGCCAGCGAUGUCAUGUCUGAAAGCAUGGUGGAGACCAACGAUCCCAUACUUAGGAGUGAAAAGGGGGAUUCUGGGGCUGCCCCAGAAAUGGAUGAUAAAUUGUGUCUAAGAAUGAAACUGGUUAGUCCUGAGACUGAGGCAAGUGAAGAGUCUUUGCAGUUUAGCCUGGAAAAGCCUGCAACUGGUGAAAGAAAAAAUGGAUCUACUGCUGUUGCUGAGGCUGUUGCCAGUCCUCAGAAGACCAUGUCUGUGUUGAGCUGUGUCUGUGAAGCCCAGCAAGAGGAUAAGGCUCAAAGUGAGGAUCCUCCCUCCGCACCCAUCAGGGGGAACUUGCUCCAUUUUCCAAAUACUCAAGAAGAAGAGGAGAAAGAAAAAUUGGAUGGUGACCAAAGAAUUAGGCAGAGUCAACAGCCUAUGAAACCCGUUAGUCCUGUUAAGGACCCUGCUUCUCCUGCCUCCCAGCACAUGGCUACACAGGAGCCAUCCAGUCCUCAAGGAGAAGCAAUGGAGACAGAUGUGCUAGAAGGCCAUAAAGAAAGACAGAAUACCAAUCAGGAAAAACCUAGUAAGGCCUUGAUUGAAAGGCCCAGCCAAAAUAAUAUAGGAAUCCAAACCAUGGAGCGUUCCUUAUGGGUCCCAGAAACCGUUUCAGCAGGAACCCAGACUGUAAAGAAUGUGUGUGAACAGGGGACCAGUACAGUGGAUCAGAAUUCUGGAAAACAAGAUGCUACAGUUCAAACUGAGAAGGGGAGUGGUGAGAAACCAGUCAGUGCUCCUGGAGAUGAUACAGAGUCACUUCAUAGCCAGGGAGAAGAAGAGUUUGAUAUGCCUCAGCCUCCACAUGGCCAUGUCUUACAUCGUCACAUGAGAACGAUCCGUGAAGUACGCACACUUGUCACCCGUGUCAUCACAGAUGUGUAUUAUGUGGAUGGAACAGAAGUAGAAAGAAAAGUAACUGAGGAGACUGAAGAGCCAAUUGUAGAGUGUCAGGAGUGUGAAACUGAAGUUUCUCCUUCGCAGACUGGGGGCUCCUCAGGUGACCUGGGGGAUAUCAGCUCCUUCUCCUCCAAGGCAUCAAGCUUACACCGCACGUCAAGUGGGACCAGUCUGUCAGCCAUGCACAGCAGUGGCAGCUCAGGGAGAGGAGCCGGACCACUCAAAGGGAAAACCAGCGGGACAGAACCCGCAGAUUUUGCCUUACCCAGCUCCCGAGGAGGCCCAGGAAAACUGAGUCCUAGAAAAGGGGUCAGUCAGACAGGGGCGCCAGUGUGUGAGGAGGAUGGUGAUGCAGGCCUUGGCAUCAGACAGGGAGGGAAGGCUCCAGUCACACCUCGUGGGCGCGGGCGAAGGGGCCGCCCGCCUUCUCGGACCACUGGAACCAGAGAAACAGCAGUGCCUGGCCCCUUGGGCAUAGAGGACAUUUCACCUAGUGUGUCACCAGAUGAUAAAUCCUUCACCCGUAUCGUGCCCCGAAUGCCAGACUCCACCAAACGAGCAGACGUGGGUGCUGGUGCUUUACGUCGUAGUGACUCUCCAGAAAUUCCUUUCCAGGCUUCUGCUGGCCCCUCUGAUGGCCUAGAUGCCUCCUCUCCAGGGAACAGCUUUGUAGGGCUCCGGGUUGUAGCCAAGUGGUCAUCGAAUGGCUAUUUUUACUCUGGGAAAAUCACACGAGAUGUUGGAGCUGGGAAGUAUAAAUUGCUCUUUGAUGAUGGGUACGAGUGUGAUGUGUUGGGCAAAGACAUUCUUUUGUGUGACCCCAUCCCGCUGGAUACUGAAGUGACGGCCCUCUCGGAGGAUGAGUAUUUCAGUGCAGGAGUGGUGAAAGGGCAUAGGAAGGAGUCUGGAGAACUAUACUAUAGCAUUGAAAAAGAAGGUCAAAGGAAGUGGUAUAAGCGAAUGGCUGUCAUCCUAUCCUUGGAGCAAGGAAACAGACUGAGAGAGCAGUAUGGGCUUGGCCCAUAUGAGGCAGUAACGCCCCUCACAAAGGCAGCAGAUAUCAGCUUAGACAAUUUGGUGGAAGGGAAGCGGAAACGGCGCAGUAACAUCAGCUCCCCGGCCACCCCCACUGCCUCCAGUAGCAGCAGCACAACCCCUACCCGUAAAAUCACAGAAAGUCCUCGUGCCUCCAUGGGAGUUCUUUCAGGCAAAAGAAAACUUAUCACUUCGGAGGAGGAAAGGUCCCCUGCCAAGCGAGGCCGCAAGUCUGCGGCUGUGAAACCUGGUGCAGUGGGGGCAGGAGAGUUUGUGAGCCCCUGUGAGAGUGGAGACAACACAGGUGAACCCUCUGCCCUGGAAGAGCAGAGAGGGCCUUUGCCUCUCAACAAGACGCUGUUUCUGGGCUAUGCCUUUCUCCUCACCAUGGCCACAAGCAGUGACAAGUUAGCCAGCCGCUCCAAACUACCAGAUGGUCCUACAGGAAGCAGUGAAGAAGAGGAGGGGUCAUUACAGCUUCAGCCUCAUCUCUCAUAUCUUCUACUUCACCCUCAAGACUAUAGAGCAGUCAUUGAUGUUCAGUGUCCUGAGGUACUUCAAGAUCAUCAAAGAAUUUUUAGAAAUUCCUCCUUUCAACAAGCAGUACACAGAAUCCCAGCUUCGAGCAGGAGCUGGCUAUAUCCUCGAAGAUUUCAAUGAAGCCCAGUGUAACACGGCCUACCAAUGUCUCCUAAUUGCGGAUCAGCAUUGUCGAACCCGGAAGUAUUUCCUGUGCCUUGCCAGUGGGAUUCCUUGUGUUUCUCAUGUCUGGGUUCAUGAUAGUUGCCAUGCCAACCAGCUCCAGAACUACCGUAAUUAUCUGUUGCCAGCUGGGUACAGCCUUGAGGAACAAAGAAUUCUGGACUGGCAACCUCGUGAAAACCCCUUCCAGAAUCUGAAGGUACUCUUAGUAUCAGACCAACAGCAGAACUUCCUAGAGCUCUGGUCUGAAAUCCUCAUGACUGGAGGGGCAGCCUCCGUGAAGCAGCACCAUUCAAGUGCCCAUAACAAAGAUAUUGCUUUAGGUGUAUUUGACGUGGUGGUGACGGACCCCUCGUGCCCAGCCUCAGUGCUGAAGUGUGCUGAAGCACUGCAGUUGCCUGUGGUGUCACAAGAGUGGGUGAUCCAGUGCCUCAUUGUUGGGGAAAGAAUUGGAUUCAAACAACAUCCAAAAUAUAAACAUGAUUAUGUUUCUCACUAAAGAUACUUGGUCUUACCAGUUUUAUUCACUGCUAUUGUGGAGAUUGUGUUUUAACCAGGUUUUAAAUGUGUCUUGUGUGUAAUUGGAUUCCUUGCAUGGAUCUUGUAUAUAGUUUUAUUUGCUGGACUUUUAUGAUAAAAUAAAUGUUGAAUCUCUUUGGUUGUAGUAA